GGAAGAGAUUUAUGUUCCAGCAAUAUAUGUCAGAGUGGUAAUUCAUGAUUAAAACUGGUAUGUGAUUACAUUACUGCAGGUUGCUGAGGGGUAGAUUCCACUCGUGGUAGCUAAAGGAGAGGAGAUAGCACGUUAUAAAGGACUUGAUCCGACAGAGCGUUUACUAAUGUUAAAAGCACUCUGUGAACUCCGAGCCGAUGUAUUUACUCCUUUGUCAUUAUUUUUUCUGUUUCUUAAUGUCAAGUGGUGUACAUACCGGAUAUCCUAGCUUUAUGUUACCAUUUGUUUUGGUAUUUUGAUGAGCCUCCUGCUAGCUAGUUUUAGUUUUUGCUUUAGUUAUAGGCAUGGUUAAUGCAAUGUGGACGCGUUUAUGUUUUCCGGCUUUAUGCAGUUAUAGCCACUUAGGCAAUGUUAAUUCUUAUGUAAAUGUUGGGAUGAAUAUUGCUGAUGAAUGAAAUGGCUUUUGGAAUCAA